GAUGAACGCUGGCGGCGUGCCUAACACAUGCAAGUCGAGCGGGGACCAGCAAACAGCAAUGGGCGGUGGUUCCAGCGGCGGACGGGUGAGUAACACGUGAGCAAUCUGCCUUCUGCAGGGGAAUAACAUUGUGAAAACAGUGCUAAUACCGCAUGACAUCCCGACUGGGCAUCCAGGGGGGAUCAAAGGAGCAAUCCGGCAGGAAAUGAGCUCGCGUCCGAUUAGCUAGUUGGCGGGGUAACGGCCCACCAAGGCGACGAUCGGUAGCCGAACUGAGAGGUUGAUCGGCCACAUUGGGACUGAGACACGGCCCAGACUCCUACGGGAGGCAGCAGUGGGGAAUAUUGGGCAAUGGGGGCAACCCUGACCCAGCAACGCCGCGUGAAGGACGAAGGCCUUCGGGUUGUAAACUUCUUUGAUCAGGGACGAACAAUGACGGUACCUGAAGAACAAGCCACGGCUAACUACGUGCCAGCCGCCGCCGUAACAC
rnacentral:rRNA from 1 species